UGUAAGCGUAUACCAAAGUUGUUGCAGUUAAAACGCUCGUAGUCGGAAUUUGGCAGUUCCGGAUGUGUGCACGUCGUGUGCGCACUUCGCGGGGAUUGCUUUUGUGGUCUUGCGUAGGAUGAGGCACUUUUAUUAUUGAACGUCCUCACGCAACCACUUUUUACUGUGAGAAAAUCAGAGUGCUCAAAGCAGGCAUUUGCCGUGAAUGUAUUAGCAUGGAAUAAUAGAAUAGGACUUGGUUCUAUUUUGUUGGUUUGUUGGGACUGAGUAAUGAUUAAGAGGGACAGUUGGGGGCAUUUGUAUUUCGGUGCUAGAGGUGAAAUUCUUAGAUUACCGAAAGACAAACUGCUGCGAAAGCGUCUGCCAAGGAUGUUUUCAUUGA
rnacentral:rRNA from 1 species